rnacentral:lncRNA from 1 species
UGAAUGGGAAGAUGGAGAUGGAUGUUGAGGGAGUUUCUCCGCGCCCGGAGCCCAUCCCCCGCUCCCAGGGGGCUGGCGGAGCCUGCCAGGCGCCGCCACAGCCGCCCCAGCCCCAGCCGCCGCCGCAGCAGCUGGCUCAGGAUGAACUGCCCGGCGAGAGUGCAGGCGCUGAGGACAGCGACGAUCCCGAGACGAGACCCAACGGCGAGAAAGGAGAGAGCAAGAGAUGCCAUGGUCUACAAGGUGAUGAAUACCACUAUGAGCUCACUACAAGAUCUCAAAGAUUUCAAGCCACUGGCUGUUCCAAAGCAUGAAGCCGCCCUUCUGGAGCAGCAGCAGGAGGCAGGCAGGGAGGAGGUAAGGAAUCAUCCUUUCUUCCCUCUGCCCCUUGACUCCAUCAGCCUUUAGCUGUCAGAUUGUUUGGACUCAUGCCUGAUGGGCUUUUUCCCAUGUGUUCUUCCACAGGCCCUGAGUUUUGCCCAGAUGAUGGACUGUCUCGUUAGGUGUCCAGGCAGCUGCUGAAACAUAGUAAGGAAGAUGCUGCUGAUCCAAAGGAUAAAAACACAGAAACUGAAACCAAGAAGCACCUAAAGUGGACUCACGCCCAGCAUCCCUGCAGACUGAUGUUCUCUCAGCUAUAGUUCUGCAUUGAACUGUUUUUCCUUUGCUAUCACCUGCCUAACACACAGUCCUGGAUGCUUUUGACUGGUUGGAUUUUUUUUUUUUUCUCUGCCUUUUCAUUUUCUUUCCUUUUUUUCCUGCCUUUUCUUUUUCUUUCCUUGACCCUGGGAAUUACAAACAAGAAAUUGCUUUAAAAAGUAUUAUUCGGUGCUGAAAAUAGCCUUGUUUAUGAACAAGUUUUAUCCCUAGGGAUUUCCUGAAAUGCAGUCUCAGGUUACCUUGUAAAUGGGGCUGUGCCAUUUGAUUUGUAUAGUACUGAUCUGUAAGUUAAAAUACAUUUCCUUUCUUUUGUUUCAUUCGUUUUUAAAAAAUUUGCAUCCAGGUAAUGGCCUGAGUCACAUUUGCUUGGCUACUGAAGUGAUCUCAAUGUGUUAUCACUUAGAGUUGAAACAUAAUCAAACAUACGUUAUACCUGGGGCUCGUGCACACUCUUUGAUACAUAUGUCACAUUACAAAGAAACACAAACCUCGUAGGUUGAGAUUUAAUUCCUGUUUGAUCCUGCAGCUAGAAUACUAAAGAAAUUGUAAAUAUCAAAAUUGGCUUCAAAUACCCUGAAUAUAAGCUAGUCAACAGUAAGUGGAUGGCUCCAGAAUACCGUUUUCUAAGAAGCAGGAAUUAGAGAUCAACUGACCUCAUCCAUAAUGUUGCUCAGGUCUGUCUGUGGAUCUGUCCAUUUUGGAGUAAAAAACAAGGCAUGCUUCUGUGAUUGUGUUUAUGAAAACUGUAGUAUUUCAGAUUUAUGUUUUGUGAUUGUGCUUGCCUUGCAAUAAAACACCUUCAGUUGACUCACAUAAGGUCUCUGUCAAUUUCCUGCAAAACUGUGUCCUUAUUGGCUUUCUAAAAAAGUUCAGUGUAGACCUAUCAGUGGUGACCUGCUAGACAUUUCAGCUGGAUCUAGCAUUAUUGCUCUUUCAGAAAUAGCACUAGAGCUGUCCAUUGUCUACACAUGAGGUCAGAGUUGUACAGUCAGAUUCUCAUUUCUUCGUAUUAGCAUCAACUACAGAAAUCUAUAGUCACAGCCUAACCCUGUUACGUAUAUGUGCUGCCAUCUGCCAUUGUGUUCCAACUCUGGAGUCCCUAUUUAUUUCUGAGACUCUAGGAUAAGCCAAAAACCCUGUGGACCUCAGUGUCCUCAUAUACAAAAUGGGGAUAAUGAUACUUCCUAUGAUUGUGG